rnacentral:rRNA from 1 species
AGCGAACGCUGGCGGCAGGCUUAACACAUGCAAGUCGAGCGGGCGUAGCAAUACGUCAGCGGCAGACGGGUGAGUAACGCGUGGGAACAUACCUUUGGUUCGGAACAACACAGGGAAACUUGUGCUAAUACCGGAUAAGCCCUUACGGGGAAAGAUUUAUCGCCGAAAGAUUGGCCCGCGUCUGAUUAGCUAGUUGGUGAGGUAAUGGCUCACCAAGGCGACGAUCAGUAGCUGGUCUGAGAGGAUGAUCAGCCACAUUGGGACUGAGACACGGCCCAAACUCCUACGGGAGGCAGCAGUGGGGAAUAUUGGACAAUGGGCGCAAGCCUGAUCCAGCCAUGCCGCGUGAGUGAUGAAGGCCCUAGGGUUGUAAAGCUCUUUUGUGCGGGAAGAUAAUGACGGUACCGCAAGAAUAAGCCCGGCUAACUUCGUGCCAGCAGCCGCGGUAAUACGAAGGGGGCUAGCGUUGCUCGGAAUCACUGGGCGUAAAGGGUGCGUAGGCGGGUCUUAAGUCAGGGGUGAAAUCCUGGAGCUCAACUCCAGAACUGCCUUUGAUACUGAGGAUCUUGAGUUCGGGAGAGGUGAGUGGAACUGCGAGUGUAGAGGUGAAAAUUCGUAGAUAUUCGCAAGAACACCAGUGGCGAAGGCGGCUCACUGGCCCGAUACUGACGCUGAGGCACGAAAGCGUGGGGAGCAAACAGGAGUAGAU